rnacentral:rRNA from 1 species
UAGGGAAUAUUGGUAAUGGGCGAAAGCCUGAACCAGCAACGCCGCGUGUGCGAUGAAGGCCUUCGGGUUGUAAAGCACUUUUUGAGGGGAUGAGGAAGGACAGUACCCUCAGAAUAAGUCUCGGCUAACUACGUGCCAGCAGCCGCGGUAACACGUAGGAGACUAGCGUUAUCCGGAUUUACUGGGCGUAAAGAGCGUGCAGGUGGCUCGGAAAGUUCGAUGUGAAAGCUCCCGGCUUAACUGGGAGAGGUCGUUGAAUACUUUCGGGCUAGAGGAUGGGAGAGGGAGGCGGAAGUCCGGGUGUAGUGGUGAAAUGCGUAGAUAUCCGGAGGAACACCAGUGGCGAAAGCGGCCUCCUGGCGCAUUUCUGACACUCAGACGCGAAAGCUAGGGUAGCAAACGG